rnacentral:rRNA from 1 species
GAUGAACGCUAGCGGCAGGCUUAAUACAUGCAAGUCGUGGGGCAGCAUGUCCCGCAGCAAUGCGGGAUGAUGGCGACCGGCAAACGGGUGCGGAACACGUACACAACCUUCCUUUAAGUGGGGAAUAGCCCAGGGAAACUUGGAUUAAUACCCCGUAAUAUAUAGAAGCGGCAUCGCUUUUAUAUUAUAGCAGCAAUGCGCUUGAAGAUGGGUGUGCGGCUGAUUAGGUAGUUGGCGGGGUAAUGGCCCACCAAGCCGACGAUCAGUAACUGGGGUGAGAGAACGACCAGUCACACGGGCACUGAGACACGGGCCCGACUCCUACGGGAGGCAGCAGUAAGGAAUAUUGGUCAAUGGACGCAAGUCUGAACCAGCCAUGCCGCGUGGAGGAUGAAGGUCCUCUGGAUUGUAAACUUCUUUUAUCUGGGAAGAAAUCCAUUUUUUCUAAAAUGGUUGACGGUACCAGAUGAAUAAGCACCGGCUAACUCCGUGCCAGCCGCCGCCGUAAUAC